rnacentral:rRNA from 1 species
AGAGUUUGAUCCUGGCUCAGAUUGAACGCUGGCGGCAGGCCUAACACAUGCAAGUCGAACGGUAACAGGAAGCAGCUUGCUGCUUCGCUGACGAGUGGCGGACGGGUGAGUAAUGUCUGGGAAACUGCCUGAUGGAGGGGGAUAACUACUGGAAACGGUAGCUAAUACCGCAUAACGUCGCAAGACCAAAGAGGGGGACCUUCGGGCCUCUUGCCAUCGGAUGUGCCCAGAUGGGAUUAGCUAGUAGGUGGGGUAACGGCUCACCUAGGCGACGAUCCCUAGCUGGUCUGAGAGGAUGACCAGCCACACUGGAACUGAGACACGGUCCAGACUCCUACGGGAGGCAGCAGUGGGGAAUAUUGCACAAUGGGCGCAAGCCUGAUGCAGCCAUGCCGCGUGUAUGAAGAAGGCCUUCGGGUUGUAAAGUACUUUCAGCGGGGAGGAAGGGAGUAAAGUUAAUACCUUUGCUCAUUGACGUUACCCGCAGAAGAAGCACCGGCUAACUCCGUGCCAGCAGCCGCGGUAAUACGGAGGGUGCAAGCGUUAAUCGGAAUUACUGGGCGUAAAGCGCACGCAGGCGGUUUGUUAAGUCAGAUGUGAAAUCCCCGGGCUCAACCUGGGAACUGCAUCUGAUACUGGCAAGCUUGAGUCUCGUAGAGGGGGGUAGAAUUCCAGGUGCAGCGGUGAAAUGCGUAGAGAUCUGGAGGAAUACCGGUGGCGAAGGCGGCCCCCUGGACGAAGACUGACGCUCAGGUGCGAAAGCGUGGGGAGCAAACAGGAUUAGAUACCCUGGUAGUCCACGCCGUAAACGAUGUCGACUUGGAGGUUGUGCCCUUGAGGCGUGGCUUCCGGAGCUAACGCGUUAAGUCGACCGCCUGGGGAGGACGGCCGCAAGGUUAAAACUCAAAUGAAUUGACGGGGGCCCGCACAAGCGGUGGAGCAUGUGGUUUAAUUCGAUGCAACGCGAAGAACCUUACCUGGUCUUGACAUCCACGGAAGUUUUCAGAGAUGAGAAUGUGCCUUCGGGAACCGUGAGACAGGUGCUGCAUGGCUGUCGUCAGCUCGUGUUGUGAAAUGUUGGGUUAAGUCCCGCAACGAGCGCAACCCUUAUCCUUUGUUGCCAGCGGUCCGGCCGGGAACUCAAAGGAGACUGCCAGUGAUAAACUGGAGGAAGGUGGGGAUGACGUCAAGUCAUCAUGGCCCUUACGACCAGGGCUACACACGUGCUACAAUGGCGCAUACAAAGAGAAGCGACCUCGCGAGAGCAAGCGGACCUCAUAAAGUGCGUCGUAGUCCGGAUUGGAGUCUGCAACUCGACUCCAUGAAGUCGGAAUCGCUAGUAAUCGUGGAUCAGAAUGCCACGGUGAAUACGUUCCCGGGCCUUGCACUCACCGCCCGUCA